UGAGGAGGAAGAUGUUAUCUGCCCUUGCUACCAGGUGGAGAGACUUCAAGACUUUCUUGACACAGGAGUAUGUAUUUGGAGAGCGACAAAAUGAGACUCCUUGUCUAAAGUACCAGAUUACUGAUGAGGAGUGGAUACAAUUUCGUGCCACUCGAUUGGACUCUUCUUGGCAAGCCAAAAGAGUAGCUACCCAAGAACGACAGAGCAAGAAUGAUGCAUCCCAUCUAUUGUCAAGAGGGGGAUAUGAAUUAAAAAAAAAUUGAUGAAGGUUAGGAUAGAGGCAUCAGGGGUUGAGUCUAUUGACCAUGUGGAUUCACCUCCCCGCUAUGAGAUGUGGAUAGCAGCUCGAACAAAAUCAAAUGGGCAAAUGACUUCUGAGUUUGCAAGGGUCGUUGCUGAUAAAAUAGAGGGUUUAGUUGAGCAGACCACCCAUGGCUCAUUUUUUCCCCAUGGUCGGGAUGAUAUACUCACAACGGCCAUAGGAAGGCCAGAGCACGCAGGGCGUGUGCGUGGUAUUGGUGGUUCUUGGAGUCACCGAGAUUACUUUGAUGCACCACCAUCGAGGAGCAAUACUGUUGACUCUUGCAGUUUGAAGAGAAAUUGAAGAACAUUCGAGAAGAGUUUGAACAGAAUUUUGAGUUUUUGGAUCGUUCUCAGCAACAGACUACAGUUGCUCAUGAUGGUGUUCGAGUCAGCACUAAAGGGAGUUGUGCUGCUCUAGAUCCCUCAGGGGAACAGACUCACACUGAUGUACCAAACCAGUGUGAGUUAUAUGUUGAGGAUGAACCCCCACGGUUAGUGGCUAUUGGUUGAGUAUUUGAGGGUGGCUCAACCAUCCAUGGUGUCCCUCUAGAGCCAGACUGGACACGGGUUGUGGUUGACCAAGUUCAAGAUGCUGCUGCUCCAGUGCCUUUGCCCAAUACAGAAGUUCAACUAGUGGGGCAGGCAACCGACACAUUCUUAGCUUAACCAAAACGUUUGGUGAUGCCGCUUUCAUCACGGGCAAAGGAUUUUAUCAAUCGUGGUAAGGAGGUCAUGAGAGAACCUGUUGUUGAUGAUGUUGAUAUCGCAGAAGCUGAGGAUCAUCCCAUAUAUAGGCUUCUAACCAUAUUACCACGAUUGAAGAAGAAACCAAUUCAAUUGCAGUGGGACAUUAGAGUUUUUGGAGUUGAUAGUUCUAAUGUUCCAUUAUACAUAUCCCUGCCCGACACAUUAGAGAUUGUUGGGGGAAACUCCAUGUUAAAUAUAUCUAUCAUACAACUGUGGGCCAUGUACAUAGAUAAAUUGAGUGUGGAGCAAGCACAAGCACAAAUAUAUGGAUUUAUUGAGCCUC